UCCAGAAUAGCCUGUCAUCCAGGGGUUCGGAGAUCACUGGCCGCCAUCCAUCAGCGAUUCUGGUGGCCAUCCAUGGCCCAUGAUGUCAGGCAGUUUGUGUUGGCUUGCUCAGUGUGUGCUCAGAAUAAGACCUCUAACCAGUCUCCUGUUGGUCUGUUGCAGCCUUUACCCAUUCCCUCUCGUCCUUGGUCACACUUGGCCCUUGAUUUUGUUUCUGGCCUUCCCCCAUCGAGAGGCAACACCGUGAUUCUGACGGUGGUGGAUCGCUUCUCCAAGGCGGCCCAUUUCAUUCCAUUGCCCAAACUCCCCUCCGCCAAGGAGACCGCACAAGUGGUGGUGGACCAUGUCUUCCGGAUUCAUGGUCUUCCGGUGGAUGUGGUCUCCGACAGAGGGCCACAAUUUGUCUCCCGGUUUUGGAAAGAGUUCUGAAGACAGAUCGGGGCCUCAACGAGUCUGUCUUCAGGCUUUCACCCGCAGACCAAUGGGCAGUCCGAGCGAGCCAACCAGGAUCUCGAGAGAGCUCUCCGUUGUCUGGCAUCACAUAGUCCGAGCUCCUGGAGUCAGCAGCUACCGUGGGUUGAAUAUUCCCACAAUUCCCUUCCUGUAGCGUCCACAGGUAUGUCUCCCUUUCAAUGUUCCAUGGGUUAUCAACCACCUCUCUUCCCUGCUCAGGAACCCGAAGCUGCGGUCCCGUCUGCCUUGGCCUUCGUCCGUCGGUGUCGCCGCACCUGGAGGAGGGCUAAGGAGGUCUUGGCCCAGGCUUCCAGACGGACCAAAGCAGCGGCUGAUCGUCACAGGACUCCUGCUCCUCAGUAUGUGUGUGUGGUCAGAAAGUAUGGAUCUCCACCAAGGACCUGCCUCUCCGGGUGCCUUCUCGUAAGCUGGCACCCAGUUUCAUUGGGCCAUAUCGUAUCACCAAGGUUCUAAGUCCAGUGGCAGUGCGGCUCAAGCUUCCUUACAUGCUUGGUCGGGUUCACCCUGUCUUCCAUGUGUCCAGGGUUAAACCUGUGUUUCGUUCCCCUCUAAAUCCUGUUGUUUCUUCCCCGACCCCCCCUCCCCCUCGUAUAGUGGAUGGUACUCCAGUAUAUACUGUGAGAAAGAUCUUGGAUGUUAGACGCCGUGGUCGGGGUUUCCAGUUUCUGGUGGACUGGGAGGGUUACGGUCCGGAGGAGAGGAGUUGGAUACCAGGCCGGGACAUUCUGGAUAAGACUCUUGUCGAGGACUUCCGUCGGCGACGAGGUGACCCUCUCCUUGGUGCGCCAGGUGGCAUCCCUGGGGGGGGAGGUACUGUCAUGACUUCGGUCUGAUCAGCAGGUUGUUGUUGUUGUGUUUUGACAGUUCACCAUGUGCUCGUUGUCUUCGUGGUUCCCUCCCCAUUGUUAUCUUAAUUACUACUUCAGCUGCCGUCACACCUGUAACUUGUUAAUUCCUUAAUUCUCCCUCUUUAAGUUUUCCUCGUGUGUAGUCUUGUGUCCGACCGUUGUGGUGUUUAUGUACUACACUUUGUGACCAUCAUCUAGUCUUGUCCUGCCGUGGUUGUUUAGGCUCCUGAUGCAGUCUUGUGUUUUCACUUUGUCUUCUCUUCCGUUUGUGCUCAGCCUCUUGUUUCACCAGACUUCUCUGACGUUGUGUCAGUACCGACGCUUGGACUCUGUGAGCUGCUCUCUCUACCCUGACGUUGCGUUGGCUCCGACGCUGGGACUGUGCACCGGUCUUCAUUUUCUACUCUGCCUAGUGGAGGGGCUGUAGGCUCAUGUUGACUGUUCUUCUCAUCCUUCCUCUAGUUUCCGCCACGGCCGAGUGGAGUUGAGAUUUAAAUAAAUUUGAGUUGUACCUGCAAAUUGAAUCCGUGUGUUUCCCUGACAUAAACUCAGACAAAGGAAAAGACGAUUGCUGGAGUCCAGGUCCAGGGUCAUCCAAACAGAUGCAAUGAGAGACAGCACUGAAAACUGGCAGACAGCAACGCUGGAACUGAUGUCUGAUGAGGAGGAUGCCAUUGCCGAUGUGGGUUGUGGGAUCUCCAUCUCACAGGAGCCCACAGUUGUCAGACCUUUGCCACCAACUUCAGCGCAGAUGUGAGGUGCUACAGUGAUGGCUGCCCACUGCUUCAAGUGUCACUGGAUGGCUUAAAUGCAGAGGUCACAUUCCAAGUAUGGGUUACCAUACAUUGGUCAUUGUCACUUUCACUUCACUUUUAUAUUGUGUUUUAGUAUUUAGUGUUUAAUAUUUUAGCUUUUAUAAUUUUAUAAGUAUAAUUGCACCUUUUAUAAUUGCACAUUUGUUCUUUUUCUUAUUUUCUGUUUGUUUCCUAAUUCUUACCUAUUUUGCUUUAUAUAUUUAUUAAAUUAGCACUGUUCCAUAUUCUGUAACUUUGUUAAUAUUGCUUUGUGUUUGGUUGCUUUGUUUGUGUGUGGUUUGAUUUUAGUUUCGGUACAGUUCCAU